rnacentral:tRNA from 1 species
CGGGCAGUAGCGCAGCCGGUAGCGCACAUGACUGGGGUCACGAGUCGCGGGUUCGAAUCCUGUCUGCACGA